UUUUUGUUUUUUCUUUUUGCAUAUCUUUCCCUAAAUGCUUCAUCUCCCUACCCCUCCUGCAGUGAACCUAAUGUCCUCGAGGACCCCCAGGGCCUGGCCGCCGAGGGCAGCCUCUCUAGGGUGGCAAGUAUACAGAGUGAACCUGGCCAGCAGAACGUCCUCCUGCAGCAGCCACUGGGGAGGAAGAGGGGCCUGAGGCAGCUAAGACGCCCUCUCCUGUCAAGGCAGAAGACUCAAACUGAACCCAGAAACCGUCAUGGAGCCCGAUUGUCCACCACUCGCAGGAGCAUUCAACCUAAAACAAAGCCAUCUGUUGAUCAGAAGCGAUCUGUGACAUUCAUUGAGGCUCAGCCAGAGCCAACAGCUGCCCCAACAGAUAUGCUUCCUGCCACCGGCCAACCACAGAGCUGCGGC
rnacentral:lncRNA from 1 species